CCUACGGGAGGCAGCAGUGGGGAAUCUUGCGCAAUGGGCGAAAGCCUGACGCAGCCAUGCCGCGUGAAUGAUGAAGGUCUUAGGAUUGUAAAAUUCUUUCACCGGGGACGAUAAUGACGGUACCCGGAGAAGAAGCCCCGGCUAACUUCGUGCCAGCAGCCGCGGUAAUACGAAGGGGGCUAGCGUUGCUCGGAAUUACUGGGCGUAAAGGGAGCGUAGGCGGAUAGUUUAGUCAGAGGUGAAAGCCCAGGGCUCAACCUUGGAAUUGCCUUUGAUACUGGCUAUCUUGAGUAUGGGAGAGGUAUGCGGAACUCCGAGUGUAGAGGUGAAAUUCGUAGAUAUUCGGAAGAACACCAGUGGCGAAGGCGGCAUACUGGCCCAUUACUGACGCUGAGGCUCGAAAGCGUGGGGAGCGAAACAGGAUUAGAUACCCUGGUAGUCCACGCUGUAAACGAUGAGUGCUAGUUGUCGGGCAUGCAUGCAUGUCGGUGACGCGAGCUACGACAUAAGUACACUCCGCCGUCGGGUAGGUACGGUCGCGNGUGAGUUAAACGUAACGAAAGAAGUAGACGGCGUGAGACGUGACCGACGGACGACGACGAGGGAGGAGG
rnacentral:rRNA from 1 species